CUCUGUGGGCACGCGGCCAUAGGUCGCCGGAGGGAGGGAGGGUGCGCUCCGCCGGCGCAUCCAUAAGGCGGCACAAGUGGCCGCCUUAGGGCGCACCGGCCCGGCGGGCGCAAAGCCGGAGUGACCGGCAGGAGGUGAGCGCAUAGCGCAGAGCGCUCCCUCCUGCCAGGCACUCUGUGUAGCGUGGCCGAGCGCACCGCGGUACAGGAACU